CUAACCAAAUCCCUACACUCCUCUUCAAACGAACAGCCCUAUCCAAACGACGCCAUCUCCCAUCACCGCUGGUUCCAUCGACGGACCAGCGUACAAAAGCCAUCCUUGACGCCACCGCCAUCAUGUCUCUUCAGUCCCUUCACCCUCUCUACGAGAUUAUAGAGCCAUUAAUGCUCUGCAAACUAGCUUGUUCAACUUCCAAAGAGGGCAAAUGUGAGAAUCUUGUGAAUACAAGGAUGAUUCGAUGGAUAACAGCCUCAUCCCAUCUUCAGAGCUCGGUUUGCUAAGAAAACUUUCGGAUUUUUGGCCCCAACAGCUCUUUCCUUUCACUUCACCUCUGAAAAAGAAUGUUGGAGUUGUGGCAACUCCGAUUUCAGCCCAGGCCGAAAACCAGUAGCUGCAUUUGCGUGCUCGUGUCUAACAGCCUUCGUUCGUGUCAAGCGUCCCCGUCCUUCUUCCUCUUCUUUAAAUUUCGUAUCUUUGUGUUAACAAAUAUAUAUUACAUGUUGUUUAUAUUAUUGACUAACAUUUUUAUGGAUUGUAUUUAUAGCGUAUUUGUUUCUCGCUUGUGUACGAACUUGCGGAAAAAUGGUUUAGUAUGAUAGUGAAUUUGGUCAUUUGCUUCC